UACUCCAAUUAUAAGAAUUUUUUUGUUCCUCUAACUGAAUCUCAUGGAACAGUCCUGCAUGAGAAGGUACAAUAGCAUUAGACAUUAUCUGAAGCUGCAUAUCUUAGUAUCUGUGAAAUGUUUAAUAUCUUAUAUCUUGCUUGUGCAGUCGAGGGUUAUUUGGAGGGCACCAGAAGAGAGAUCAUAUCAUAUUUUCUAUCAGUUGUGCUCUGGAUCUUCUCCUUUUCAGAUAAGCAACCACACAUUUCUAUCAAGGAAUUCAUAUAUCCUACAUUUCAUUGCAUAUCCUUUGUCAUUUUUUAAUCUGUUAUAGGCAUGUGCUGUUGCAGAAAAUUUGUUUCUGAGACACACCGGUUACUAUAAUUACGUGGUAUGGCGGGAUGUGGAGUAUGGGGAUGGCGUGGGUUAGAGGAUGGCAGCGGGAUAAGCCGGAAAGGCUGGGCCGAGGAGAAGGAGCACUCAGCUAUGGUGUCUGGUGUAGGGAUGGGAGUAGGAUCUGCGUGAGGAGGAGGAGGCGCACAUCAUGGCUUCGAAGGUCACGCCUUGACGUCGUCUACCCCCGUCAUCCACCCGCACUGAUAAAAUGCAUGUUUCUCAGGAGACACAAACUGUAGUUAAUUCCGAAGGAGAAUAGCAACUUUUGCUUCUGCUAGGGGAAUUAGUCCAAGUGUUACUGGUUCACUUGCUACAGGUGCAAUAUAUCUUUGGUGUUAUUGAAUCUUUAACCAAGAUAUGGCUGGAGGCUGGAGCAGACUAAUCCUAAUCGAUUUGGUCAUCUCACUUCAUAGGUGGAGUAAUUAUAGACUCCCUCGUCACCUUGCCAGUGCUAUGGAUCACUCACAGCUUGAAUCUGAAUGUGCUUCUUCCAGUCUAUGCUCCCUCUCUUUGGUUCAUUGGCCUCCCAAAACUACUUUGUAAAUUGUGGAUGUCAAUGUCAGUUCUUCUGCUGCAAAGUUGGGGAAAGAAUUGCAGCGACAAUCAAGUUUUGUCCGAGCACACAACAUCAGCAACGUGAUGAUGAAGCAAUGGCAUUGUCUGGCUAUUCAUACAAUUCUAUAGAAGAUGCAAUGGAUGUUGCAGCUGCUUGAGUAAUGAAAUAUAUGGAGACCGUGCGUGCCAAGGUAUUGAAAGACUAUAGUUACAACAAGCUGCAACAAAGGAAAGAGAACUGCAUCUGAUUGGUUUGUUAGGACAAAGAAAAAGAAAUCAAAGAACAGGCUCUGAAGAUUAGAGAACUUAGCAAGGACUUUGCAGACUACUUAUAUCAGAUUAAAAGCACUUCUGAGAUUCACCGCCCAGCUAAAGGAAGUGUAUGCUCAGCCAAUUCCAUAAGUGGUCGCGAGCUCGAGAAAGCGGCUAUAGAUAUUCACAAUGCAAUUGCUCAUCUUGGCCAGUUGAGUGAAAACAAAAUGCAGGUAAUCCAAAACACAUCGGUAUAUCCACUUAGGAGAGGAUCUAUUUCCACGGCCUAUGUGCCUCCAGAAGAUGCCGAUACUACCAGCUACAACAGCCUUCUCUGAAUAUCAAGUGAUUACCUUUGUCUUGAGAAGAUCACUGCCAUAGUUCAUCUGCCAGUCUUUCCAGAGCUUCUUCUAUCACGUUGAUGGACUUUGAACUUAAGCUAUCCCCGGCUAUGUAUGUUAGUUGCUAUGGCAAUUGCAUGUAUAGAUUAAACCAUCAGCUACGUUCUAUGUUGCGUGGCAAUGCCAGUAGUCUCUCAAUGUAAUAUGCAGCAGCUUAUUAUGUAUUUCCUACGAACAUAUGUUCAUUAUUAAUAAACCUACCAUGCAUUGUAAUAUAUAACGCUAUGUAUGAACAUCAUA